rnacentral:rRNA from 17 species
CUCUCCAGAGAGUCGGCUUGCUUGGGAAUGCAGGUCUAAUUGGGUGGUAAACUUCAUCUAAAGCUAAAUAUUGGCGAGAGACCGAUAGCGAACAAGUACUGUGAAGGAAAGAUGGAAAGAACUUUGAAAAGAGAGUGAAAAAGGGCUUGAAGUUGUUAAGGGGAGAAGUGGUUGGAGCAUAU